AUCCUCUAUUAAUACUUUCAGACCUCGGGAGUGAUUCGUGUCCCAUCUGAGAAUAUUGCAACUCAUGGUUGGUUUAUUGGCAUGAUGCUUGCCAUUGUCUUCCUCCUCGUGAUCCUUAUUAUCGUAUGCGUUGUCAAGCGUAAUCGUGGAGGAAAAUAUGCCGUCCAGGAACGUGAGGCUGCUCAUGGGCGUACAGACUUCAAUGAAGAACAAGGGUUCCCUGAAUUUGCCCAGCCAUUGGAUGGACCGAAGAGGGACAGUCUGGGUAGUGAUGUGAAAAACCCAAUAGAAUCUGAUACAGACUCAAUGGCAGAAUAUGGAGAUGGAGAUACAGGAGCAGGUAUGGCUGAAGAUGGUUCCUUCAUCGGUCAGUACGGCCGGAAGAAAGGCGAGACAACAUCCAAUGCAUUUGCCACCCUAGUUUGAUGUUAUACCUCCAUUCUUUUACAUGUAAGCCUUGGAUUUUAUAUUAUAUGAAAGGAAGGUUCACAGAAGAUGGGUCGUUCAUUGGACAGUAUGGAGGAGCCGCUGGUAAAAGGAAGCCAGCCCCUGAAGACAAAUCACCCUCUGCCGUGGCCACGUUUGUCUAGAUACCUUUAUAGCGUGGCAUUCUUCACCUAGAGCCACUGUACCUGUCAACACCUUUUGUUCAGUCAAUAUUUUUCAGAUUUGUAUAUCUGUAGUAUGCUGUAAUUUCAGGGUUUGUAGUAACUGACCUAGAUACUAAAAUUUGUUUUGGUGUGUAUACGUGAUCUUGGUUAACUGGUACCACAACAAAUUCACAAAAAGAAGGGUCAGCAGUAGUGUUAAGAAUGAUAAUAGACACACAAAUAUAUUGCAGAAUGUUGGUGUCACAUAUUUAUAACAUUCAGUAGCAAAUCAGAGAACUAUUAGAUCAUAAAAAAAUUGAAUGUAGUAAUGAUUAUUUAAAACUUUUUAUUGAAAUUAUUUAUAUAGUGAUAUGAAACAGUUAAUGGUUGGCGAAUGAAAUUUUCUGAUACAAGACACUUUCAAGUCUAUAUAGCAGAGCCCUUUAGUGAUGAUUUACCUCAGAAUUUCUAAUUCAGUGGUCUUACUUAUGGGCUUUUCAAUGAAGGUCAGACACCUUUGUAUCUGUGAAUUCAAGUAUUAAACAUUAAGUUUGGAAUAGUUGUAUGAACUGUGAAUCAAAUGUUAAUACAGUGUCUUUAUAUUAUUUGUGCCAAAAUGGCCACAGAAAUGAUACUUCCUCUUAUUACUUUAGACUAGGGAAGGCAAAGGAAUCAAUGUACUAUUUGCAAAGGACAUUAAUAUAGUGAAUCAGCAAAACAAUUCUCCACAUCUGAGUGGAUGUAUCCCUGCAUUUGGGAUAACUGAAGUGAGAGUUGGUGGCUCAGCACGUAUGAGAGAGGACUCAAGAGCUGUAGUGGGCCAUCUGAACCCAAGCUCACCACUGUUGGUUACUUUUAAGUUACCAGUCAUUAUCUGACACAAAUACUGAAGUGAAAAUUUGGAAUCUCAUCGUCAUAGAAUCUCCAGUGAAUGUGUCCCUCAAUUUAGAAGUAUUGUUGCAGAAUUGUAUAGUUAAGAAAGUGUUCCUAUCAAGGAGAAAAAGUAAACAUUUCUAUAUAGCCAACAGGCAUUGAUGUAAGUGUUGCAAUUAAGAUGUAAAUGUGCCUCUUGUCAGCUUUUGAAUCACAAUUAAGCAUUGCUAGUAUUUCUUUCCACUUAGAAUGUGAUGAGCCUUGUGAGGCUGAUCCUUGAUCAGUGGUGCAAUGAGACCUUUUUUUUUUUUAUUUAUUAAAAAAAAAAGGGGGGGGGGUGUCUCAUGAAGAUCUUGCAUUAAGCUUUAUGCUCACUGGUCAUCUCACUAAUAAUGCUGUUGUGAAAAAGUUUUAUGUAUAUCUCAUUCUUGAGAAUUCAUAUAUUAUUUUUUAGUCUUAUUCACACUUUUUUUAUAUAAAUCUCACACAUUCUGCACAAACAUUGCUAGAAUCUGGUAAUGAUAAUUGACUGAAGUAAGGGUAAGGAAGAUUGUGUUUUGAUCAGUAACAUGUAGAUUGACUACUUGUGUAUGUCAUUCAUCUCAAGGUUUGUGCAUGAGAAAAGUUUUAAGUGCAUAACUGUGCAGGUGAUGGUAAUCCAUAGUCUGGACAGUGAAUGAGCGUGUCAAUUUAUUUGCUAAUGUGCUGUGACAAGCGCCAAGUGUCAAAUCUUGCAAAAAACAUUGCCAGCAUUGUGUGAAUGUUUGUUAUUUUUAUACAAGUGACCUUUUGUAUCUUCCUUUGAAAGUUUGUGGUAAUAUGCUGAUUUUCAGUUUACUUGUGAUUUAUUUUUCUUAAUCCAUACAUUUAUAUGGAAGUGAAUAAACAAAUAGGUUGUGAACAUAACAUAAUGAGGGCAGAGUUUCCUAUUUUGCUUAAAGAAAAAACUGAUAGUAUUGUCCAUUUAGAUUGUGAAAAAGUGCCUAUUUUCAUUAUGUAUAGUCCAAAAAAAAAAGAUUUUCAGUAGUCUGUAAAACUUUAUUUUUAAUUUAUUUUAUUAAUACCAAUGUUAUAAGUUUGGCUUACACAGUAUAUCAUCAUUGCACCAUAUAUGUAGAAGGAAGUUUACAGUUGAAACAAUGUAACUGUCCCAUAUAGAGAAGCAAAUGGUAGUGUUAUGUGCGAGUGUGACUGAAUGUUGUUUAAUAGCACUUUGUACAGUAAUGGGGUAUGAAGUGUGCAUCAUGCCUUUUGCAUACAUAUAUAAAUAUAUAGAUAUAUAUAUGUAUAUGAUGGAAGCAUGGAUUAUGAGGUCAAGAUUCCAUUCCUAAAUGUUCUUUUUAUCCUGUUUAAUAUGGCAGUAGGCUUCACUGGAGCUUCAUCAUCUCUGUAUUCAUCAUAUAUUAUAAGGAGAAAAAAGUGAUGGCUGGUAGUAAUAAAAUUGACUAUACAAUAUACUAAAUAUUAGCAAUACUAAAAUAUGUUAAAUUACAUUGGCUGUAUCAAGAUAAAUAUAGUGUCAUUCAUUUACAAAUCAUUCUCCAUCACUUUCCCCCUUAAUGUAUUUACAAUACUGCUGUAUUUAGGAUGGUCUUACAUUCUUAUCAUCUACCUUGCAGAUAUGUAAAGCUUGUGGAUGGAAGUAAAAGAUAUAAUAAAAUAAUUGGAAAAGUUA